AGAUCAAUAGAUCAAUAGGUAAUGUUACGGCUCCUUUAAACAUCAAAUAUCCUGUUUGCUUUAAAAAGAAAACCAACCCUUAUCUCCCCACUACCCUUAUGAUGGUAUUUUGAGCAACUAUCCGACCAGGAUCUAAAAGAUACUGCCAAUGAGAUGUGAUUUUAAGUAAAUAUAAGAAAUCACUUUCAAAUGCUUUGGCUGUUCAUGGAAUAUAUACUACUGCUCUUAAUUUUCACCUCCUCUAGAAUUCUUUCUCUUCCUCCUAGAAUGGCACACUGGUGCUUCCUGGAGUUCUCUAAGUUGUAUUCUUUUAUCCCCCUAAUGUCAUCAAUUCUCAGGUUAGUAGUAAGGUUUUGUGCUUUAAAAAAAAAAAAAAAAGAAAAGAAAAAAACAAGGGGGACUAUAUAAGAGGUAGAAUAGAACAGCUCAAGCAUGAUUCAAAUGAUAAUUAACUAAGAGCUGAAACCACACUCUCAUAAACCCUGUCUUGACCGACCAGACUCUGACUGAGUGCUGCUCUUUUACUGGGAUCUGUUGGAGUAGCCACAGAGAAUUUUCUUUCUAGGAUGCUGGACCCAUUGCUCAGAAAAUCCUUUAGACCGAAAUCUCCCUUCUUUUGGCUUAUCAACAGUCAAGAAACAUUUGACCUUUAUUUGAGAGCACUAUACUCAUUUUCACAUACUCACCGUGCAAUUGUCGACUGAAAAAAUGCACGAUGUGAAAGUUGUGCCUUAAGUUUUAUUUGGAGCAAAAUGAGGACGUGGGGGGCAGCAUUUCAGAGAGCUCUGAAAUACUGCUCUGAAGCGUUAGGGGGGAGGUCCGGAUGUUUGGGAAGGACCCUGCUAGUCACAAGGAACAGACAUCACCACGAAGGAUUUUAGCGCUUUUCUAGAUAUGAGGAGAUGCAAGAAUUGGGCUCUUGAAGUCUUCUCCUGAAAAUAUAUAACUAUGCGAAGCCCUGUUCUGCCAGUUUUCUCAGAGUACGGAACGCCUCACUCCUGGUCUCCACCCUGAGCUCUUUUCAGGGGUUUUGAGAGUCAGCAGGUGCAGAGGCUCAUGAUUCAAUCCGUUUAGUGGCAGAUGCCAGUGCCCAGUCCAGCUCAUACAAUGCUUUUGCCAUUGUGACAACUCUAAGAACAGCUAUCCUCAGGAAAGCACAGACACAAGCCCCCAGUCACGCUUUUUUUUUUUUUUUUAGAGAUGAACUUAGGGAAUGUUCAGUACUUUUGAUCGACUGCUACUGGGUCUUAAAUCCUGUUCCUCAUAGAUACCAUUCAAUUAAUAUUCAGAGAAAAGACAAAACACAUGAAUAUCCUAGUGCCUAACCAUUUUUGAGGAAGGAACUGAUUUUGCAGUUAAGACUACAGCCCUUUCUUUUAGAAGAAUCAAAAUCAGAUUCAUAUCAAGGUCCGAAAUCGAGGCAGAGAAAUAUCAUUUCCUUGUCAGAAUAGGAAGUGCCUUGCUUCAUGGUCCCCUAGUUUGUCCAGUCCUGAAAUCUCUCUGCUGCUGUCACCUUGCCCAAGUCAAGAUAAUCAAGACGGUUAUUGCAAAAGGAAAUGCUCAAGUUUGCUUCCAGAAAUAGAAUGAGGGCUUUCAAUUCAGUCAUACAAGUUAUUCUUAAUUUUUCUGACAUCCUUGGAUGGCCGAUCAUAGUAAAUCAGGUGUCAUUCGUGGUUCACACAGAGCAGAAUCCUUUCCUGUUGAGAACUGGUUAUGCUGAUGCCUUUUAAGCAUUAGCCUAUAAAAUUCUAUCCUUGAAAAACUAAUUUUAAUUAGGAAAACAAUUUGGUUAAGAGAGCUGGGCCCUGAGUCCGAAGUAAAAGGGGAAAGUAAAGCACAUUGCUUUGUUUUCAGUUUUUCAACUCAGGUUUUAAGGAAACGACACUACCAUUUAAUUCAUUUUCCAGAACAAGGUUAUCUAAGCUCUGCAAAAUUUUAUUGGCCUACAGGUAUUUCCUACUCUUCAAUUCCUUUCAAACAUUUCUUACCAUGCACUAUUCAAAAGCUGGCAGUAUUAAUAAGAAUGUCGGUUUAUAUGGCAUUUUACUAUUUUAAAAAGGUUUCUGUAGACUAUGACUUGUUUAAUCAUUGAAACAGCUGUUCGGUGGGUGGGGUGGAUUCUACUAUCCUCCCUGUUCGUAUGAGGAUGCUCAUUAAGUCACUCAUCAAACCCUGAACCUAUGGCUCACAUGAAGCACUGUGCUGCCCCAGAGAUGAAAGGAUUCCCCUGAAGUCAUGCAAUGGGAAAGCAGCCAGAACAGGAGAAUGCCGCCCUUGGCUGUAACUGACUAGUUAUAGUUAGGGAACCUGUAGAGAAGGCAAAUAGGUAAUGAGAAGUGGGCAUACUAUUUGUUUAUCUAGAGUGAAUUUUGAGAAGGAUACAUCUGCCGUCCAGGGGAAAUGCAAAGUCUUCACAGAAAUCAAGAUUUAAUUCAAGGAAACAUUCAUUGUGUUGCACUUUCAAAGGACGAUGCAAAGGAGCCUCAGGAGGAGAUAAGGCGGGGGAGGAGCUAAGAGGAGGAAGGCGGGAACACGGACGUAGUGUUUUUGUUCCCAAACUUCCACUUGGUAAACAUUAAUCAAACAGAACAAAUAGUAGCUGAGAGUUCUACCGAUUUCUUUUCCUAAACAGACACUAAAUAUUUGAUGGUUGGGUAUAGAUUGCUGUUAAAUUCCAAGUGAGAUUUCCGUGUAGAUUAACAGGGGUAAAAUGCAUCAAGUGUGGGGAAACAAACAACGAAUAUUUCAAGCUGGACCUACUUGGCUACUUUCAAGGAUUGCCCUCGACCUCCAUCCAAACCUCUGCCAAACCCCAGCGUUUGGCUUCUCUUUGCAUACGGAACAGGAAUAACUUUACAUCAAAUGCGGUUGUAUGUGACAUUGAGGUUUUGAAUUGAAAAUAAGAUACGUUUUUAAAAGCGCGUAAGAUGCGAAUGUGCACAGUCUCUGAGCAGAAGUUGCUCUCCGUGCCUGAGUGCUUUACCCGCACUCAAUUGACGAAAACAUUACCUGUCUAACACGGCUUAAUUAUUUUAUUAAUCUGUGUUACCAGGCAGAACGUUUUUGUUUUAUAUCUGGUCGGGUUUUAAGUGAUAGUUUGAGAAUUUGCAUUUUUUUUUUUCCUCCAAUGGGCUUUCCUAGGAUAUUAUUUCUGCUUACUUAUCCUGCCUUUAGUGUUGGGUUCAUUUAGAGGUGGGGGUUGCAACCUGAUCCCAGGGGCAAGAACCCCACCAGGUGUUCAUUAAGAUUUUUUGGGUCCAACACCAGCUGUCCCCAGGGACGGCUUUGUGGCAUGGGGGAAGGGCAUGGGUUUCUGUGCUCAAGGUCUGAAUCCAUCUCUGCCACUCACCACCUGUGUGAGCCUGGACAAGCUAUGGAACUUCCCCAUGCCUCUUUCUUCAUCUCUACGCCAAGGACGAGAAGUAACAAGUGCAAGUGGGAGGAUGAGAAAUAACAUAUACAAAGAGUUUAGCUUGUCUGGUUCCCAGCUCCUGGU
rnacentral:lncRNA from 1 species